rnacentral:rRNA from 1 species
AUAUUGGUCAAUGGCCUAACGGCUGAACCAGCAACUUGGAGGAAUGUAUGGCAAUAGCUGGUUGCAUUAACAAAAAGUUAGUGUAAGAUCGACUCUGUCGAAUAAAAUUCUAGAUAGGAUUAUGAUAAUGACAUUUUUUAUCUAUGUGUCUUGACCAAAUUACGUGCCAGCAGUCGCGGUAAUACGUAAAAGACUAGUGUUAUUCAUCUUUAAUAGGUUUAAAGGGUACUUAGACGGUUUAUCAAGCCUGAAUAGGGAACUAAUAUACUAGAGUUUGAUGUAAGGAAGCAUGAAAGUACUGUUGGUGUAGAGAUAAAAUUCUAUCAUACCAAAUAUGGCACAGGUUUUGGCGAAAGCAUCUUCUUAUGUAAUAACUGACGUUGAAGGACGAAGGCUUUGUGUCUCGAACAGGAUUAGAUACCCCAGUAGUCUAAGCAGACAAUGAUGAAUGUCAUAGAUUAGAUUUAAUUUAUUCUAUAAAUGAAAGUGUAAGCAUUCCACCUCAAGAGUAAUUUGGCAACAUUGGAACUGAAAUCAUUAGACCGUUUCUGAAACCAGUAGUGAAGUAUGUUAUUUAAUUCGAUAAUCCGC